rnacentral:rRNA from 1 species
GACGAACCGUGCAAACGUUGUUCGGAAUCACUGGGCUUAAAGGGCGCGUAGGCGGGCUGUCAAGUCAGGGGUGAAAUCUUUCGGCUUAACCGGAAAACUGCCUCUGAUACUGACGGCCUUGAGGGAGGUAGGGGCAUGUGGAACUUCCGGUGGAGCGGUGAAAUGCGUUGAUAUCGGAAGGAACGCCGGUGGCGAAAGCGACGUGCUGGAUCUCUUCUGACGCUGAGGCGCGAAAGCUAGGGGAGCGAACGGG